rnacentral:rRNA from 1 species
AUUGAACGCUGGCGGGAUGCUUUACACAUGCAAGUCGAACGGCAGCACGGACUUCGGUCUGGUGGCGAGUGGCGAACGGGUGAGUAAUGUAUCGGAACGUGCCUAGUAGCGGGGGAUAACUACGCGAAAGCGUAGCUAAUACCGCAUACGCCCUUCGGGGGAAAGCGGGGGACCUUCGGGCCUCGCACUAUUAGAGCGGCCGAUAUCGGAUUAGCUAGUUGGUGGGGUAAUGGCUCACCAAGGCGACGAUCCGUAGCUGGUUUGAGAGGACGACCAGCCACACUGGGACUGAGACACGGCCCAGACUCCUACGGGAGGCAGCAGUGGGGAAUUUUGGACAAUGGGGGCAACCCUGAUCCAGCCAUCCCGCGUGUGCGAUGAAGGCCUUCGGGUUGUAAAGCACUUUUGGCAGGAAAGAAACGGCACGGGAUAAUACCCCGUGCAACUGACGGUACCUGCAGAAUAAGCACCGGCUAACUACGUGCCAGCCGCCGCCGUAAAAC